UACGUAGGGUGCAAGCGUUGUUCGGAAUCAUUGGGCGUAAAGCGCGUGUAGGUGGUCAUCUAAGUCGAGUGUGAAAGCCCUGGGCUCAACCUAGGAAGUGCAUUCGAAACUAGUUGACUAGAAGACAGUAGAGGAAGGUGGAAUUCCAAGUGUAGAGGUGAAAUUCGUAGAUAUUUGGAGGAAUACCGGCGGCGAAGGCGGCCUUCUGGGCUGUUCUUGACACUGAGACGCGAAAGCGUGGGUAGCAAACAGG
rnacentral:rRNA from 1 species